rnacentral:lncRNA from 1 species
UUUAGGGUUUAGGGUUUAGAGUUUAUGUUUCGGGGUUUAGGGUUAAUUUUUUAGGGUUUAGGGUUUAGUGUUGAUAGUUUAGGGUUUAGUGUUGAUGGUUUAGGGUUUAGAGUUGAAGUUUAGGGUUUUGAGUUUAGAGUUGAUGUUUUAGGGUUUAGAGUUGAAGGUUUAGGAUUUAGGGUUUAGAGUUGAUGUUUCGGGGUUUAGGGUUUAGAGUUGAUGUUUCAUGGUUUAGGGUUCGCAUUUCAAAAAAAAAAGGGUUUAGGAUUGAUGGUUUAGGGUUUAGGGUUCGUAUUUCAAAAAAAAAAAGGUUUUGGAUUGAUGGUUUAGGGUUUAGAGUUGAGUUUUAGGGUUUAGGGUUUGAAUUUCGAAAUUGUAUAAUUCGUAAACAAAUUAAAAAAAAAUUAUUUUUUAUUUAUUUAGAUAUUUAUUUAUUAUAUCAACUCUAAUAAUCGAUACGACAUUAGUCCAUGCAUUCUCGUCUACCCUUCGAUGCUAUCUCCCGAAGACCGUAGCGAACCCAUUUCACGUUCCCCGCCAUUCUAAGUUAUCGAUCAAACUUUACCGUAAAAACCGCGGAAAGUUCGUUCUUUAUCGAAAGAAGCCGUAAUAAACGCUUCGAGUCAGAAGACGGCCCAAAGGGACCUAAGACAUGACUCGAGGCUCAACUUACGAUUUCUUAACCAACAGCCCGUAAGCCGCAUGUCGGUUUACGCUUGGUUCGCAAGGAAAGAUAAAAGUCAAGUUUCCGUGGAUAAAUACGAAAUUUGAAGAUAAUUACGAAGAUCUUAAAAAAUGGAAUAUCUCCAUUUUUAUGCUAUGGCGGCUUUAGGGCAGAAGAGGAAAAGCGUAAACCGACCUAGGAGCCAGUAUAUAAGGAAUCCUAGGCGAGAGGCAUGGAGGAGGACUUUUCUCAGAGCAAACUUAGCACUUAGAGCAAUUAGGCAUAUUUUCGUUUUUGUUAUUCGAGCUGCGACUCAACUAGGUUGCCGUCUUAGGGUUUUAGAACUAGGAAUUUCGCUGACAGCUCUCGUAGCCCAGACUCUUACCUUGUUGUAACGCUCAAACGCGAAUUCGGAAUAAGAUCUACUUUGCUCUCUUUUCGAUUUCAUAUCAUUUAUCGUUGUUAUUCUAGUGUUCUGAUUGUUUAUCUCUUCCAAUUGUCACUUUAUUUUUUGUUAUUCUAUAAUAUAGUGUUCUUAAAAACAUAUUUUAUCUUGGAGAGCUUUAUACAACAUAUAUUUGGCACUCUAUUUUCAUUACAUAAUAUUUCAAUAUUUUAUUCACCUAUCCUUUUCUAUCUGUUCUUAAUUUAAUUUUUUUUUUUAAAGUUAGACUAUGGAGGAAGCUCACUUUUUAAUUUUCUUAGAUCAACAUUCUCUAUAGGAAAUUUCUAAAUAAAUGUUUUAGAAUAAUUGUUUGAAUAUGAAUUACUUACAUAGGGUUGAGAUUGGAAGGCAUCCAUUAAUUUAAACAGUUACAUUGGAUGACUUCAAGAGAUGUAGUAAUCAAAUGGUGGAGACGAGACUGUGUGACGAAAUGAAACAGAGCCUCCCCGGUCACCGCCAUGGUUGUGGAGCCGAUUCAAAUUCAUCAAUCAUGUAAGCUCAUUCAGAAAAAAGUUUCGAGUUUUUUUUAUAUGGGUUUUAGUUUUUUUUUAAGAAACCUUGUCCACAAUACCUUGAAGAGACAUUUCACUUGAUUAACAACUUAACGAAGAUGAAGAUAUGAUUUUAUGGCUUACUAUUAAUACAUCUUAUACACAGAUGGAGAUUGAGGAAUCUCAGUUUUGAUUGUUUCAUUUGUUGUUUUGAAGAAGAGAGUAGAAAGCAUUGGGAAGACAAUUUUGCUCCCUUGACUGUGAAGAAAAGAAGGAGAAAACGAUUACCUAUAGUUCCAUCAGAAGAUCCUGAUCAGAGGCUUGCACAAAUAGGCACACAUGCAUCUUCUUUAAUAGCUUUGGGUAUCAAAUACAGUGACGACUUAACUUAGGUACAUGUCCAUUGCAAAAGCAUGUCCACAAUUUUAGGUUUUCUGUCCAUCUAUUCUCUAUUUUCUAUGUCCAUGUCCACACAAUUUUUUUUUACAAAAUCUUGUCCACAACUUUCAGUUUUAUGUCCAUGUGUUCUCCGUAUUCUAUGUCCAUGUCCACAAUUUUUAUUUUUUAUGUCGAGAUGUAGCAACUAGUUUUUUUAAUAUAAGCCGUUGGAUUGAUUUUUUUUAUGAUCGUGUGGUCCUUAUUAUAGCACAGAAAACAGAGAAUACAAAAUCUCUCGGUUUGUCUUAAUAAGGGUAAAAUUGUCAACAAAGUCUUGGUUUCCGUGAUUGUGUGCCACAAGUGGAAAGUGACUCUAGGUGUAAAGGAAACUCAAAAUGUGACCCAUUAUGUAAUCAACUCAAGAAAAAAUAGACAGUAGAAUAGGAAGAUAUGUGUUGGUUAGUUGGAUCAAAGGCACAUAUGAAAGAAGGAAAUAAAGAGAAGGAAAAAAGAAAGUAAGUGGAGUUUCCAUUUUGAAACAUGAGAGGGAAAAAAAAAGUGGAGUUUUCAAUGUUAAAGGCUUUGUUUUAGUUAGAACAAAAUUUAAGCUUAUGGUUUGGUUAAAAAAAAGGUAGAAGGGACAAAUCACAUGAAGAAAGUGUUUCAAAAGCAAGAUAUAUUUCAAAGUGUAAUUAUAAAGUCAAAAUGUGUCUUGAGAUGUAAAUUUUUCAAAAAAUUUCGCUUAGUUCCACCUCUAUUAAAUGAUAAAUUUUACAAUAAUUUAAUCUAAAAGUUGAAUAACUAUGUUUCAUCAAAAAGGAUCCAAUAGGCUGAGAGAAUAUAAUAGAAACGUUAUCAAAGUUAGAUACCAAAAGAAGAUAACUAAAGGUCUAACUUGAGCGAUUAUCUACACCUAAAAACAAAAGUUAAAUGAGAGAGCGACCAAUUGAGAGAGAGAGAGAUUUCAAGAGAGGGAGAGAGAUUAGAGUUCUAAGAGAAUCUCCAACAAGGAAUCUCGUUUUGAGGGUGGGUGAUCCUCAAAAUGAGGGUUCAGGGUCAGUUACUCCAACAAAGAACCUCAAAUAAAUAUUUAUAUUCUUUACAUAUUAAUCCUUCAUCUUAAAAAUUAGUUAUAAACACUAAAUAUUUAUAAAUAUAUAAAUAAAUACACAAUAAAAACAAAAAAUAAUAUAUUUAUAACUCAUAUAUAGAUACUUUGGUUUCAUCAACCUUUAAAAAAAAAAAAUCUUUUUAAAAGUUCAUCACUUAAAGAAAAGAGUUACAAAAUGGUUAAACAACACAUAUAUAAUAUUUAUACUUUAGAUAAUUUAAUUUAAAUUGUAACAUAUUUAUGUAUUUUAUGUAUCAGUAAUAACAUAUACGUAAUAUACAUUUGAAUAUUUAAUCAAAAUAAAUUUAUACAGAUUAAAGUGAUAAAAAAUUAAUAUUAGUAUAGUUAUAUGUACGUUAGAAAACUAGAAGGACCAAAAUGAAAAAUAAUUAGUGUUUUGAGAAUCCGAAUAGUGGAACCUCAAAUUUCUGGUUUCACUAGCGCCAUAAACCUCAAAAUUUGAGAGUUUGAGGGCAUAUUGGAGAUGCUCUAACAAAGAGAUUUCGAGAGAGACAAAGAGAUGCUGAGAGAGAGAGGGCGAUUGAGAGAGACAAAGAGAUUUUGAGAGGGAUUGAGUCAAUUAGGGUUCUUCAGUUUUUGUUUCGAGAAAGUGAGAGACAUCGAGACAAACUUAGAGUUGAAUCGAGAGAUAGAGAAUUAGACUUAGUUUUUUUCUCAUUUUGGGUUUGCCGGUUAUUGGGCUUAGCGGGAGUGAAAUAUGUGUUAGGCGGGAGUGAAUUUUGGGUUUACCGGAUGUGGUCUAAUUGAUUUUGACUGAGACAUUAUAUUUAGGGUAUACAUUUUAGUGUAUAGAAAUUAACAAUAUAAAAAAGUAAACAACAUAUAUUAUUAUUACAACAUAAUAUCAUCAUAGCAACAUUUUUAAGUUUUGUGAUAUGACUCAACAACAUCAUAUCAUCAUAACAACAUAAUAUUAUCAUUACAACAUAAUAUCAUCAUAACAACAUUUUAAAAUGGUGUUUCUCUAUCAUCAUCAUCAUCAUCAUCAUCAUCAUCAUAAGAAGAUGAAGAUAGAUUACAUUGGAAUUCAUCUUCCGCUUAUACAUCUUCCACAUCAAUAUCAAGAUUUAUCGGUUCUCCUCAAGCAUGUUUGAAAUGCUCGACUGCUAGAUCUUCAAUUGUAGUCAUCAAUACAUCAUCAUCAUUUUCUUGUUGUAAUAGUGUAGGUUUUUCAUCUUCAUAUUCUUCUGAAAUGAUUUUCCUCGGAUUCACUUUUAAAACAUUAAACCACAGCUGCUUUGGUUUCUUUAUGUAUGGGUACGGGAUAUAACAAACUUGAUGUGCUUGAGAUGUUGUGCAGUAUAUCAAAAAAUCAAAUUUUAAUAAUAAAAUUCUACAAAACAAAUAAAAAACAUAUAUAUAUUAUGUAAAAAUUGAUUAGUACGUACAUAUAUAAAUAUGUACCUAGAAUAAAUGGUUAGUAUUUAUAGUAUUUCCUCGAUGAAAGAACAUCCACCUUGCCACCAUUGCUUCGCCGAGUGCCUCUACCAAUCACAUGAUAAUACCACUUACACUUGAAAAGAGUGAUUUUCAAAUUGACUGCCCCUCAUACUCAAUUGAAAUAUGUCAGUUAAGAUUCCGUAGAAAUCAAUUCAACUGAUGCAUUUGUGUAACUAUCUCCUUUAAUAUAUACGAUGUAGUUACAAGUCUUUCGUAUGAAAUAAAAACCUCGGGGGAAAUAGAUGGGCCAGGUUUUGGCCUUAUUCACGGGUCCAUUCGCAAUAUCUUUAAUCCGCACAAGAAACUCGUGUGUGUUGCUUCAAAUGUCAUAUAUUAGAUCACCACCACAAAGUAGUAUGACAAAUUAUAGUGUUGAUAUAUCGAAACGGAAGAUUAUAAUUACCAAAUUAUACAUCUCAAAUGGCUAAAUAUUAUCAAAAUUUUGCAUUACAUAUGAAUGUGCGCAUCUAUAGUCUUUCUUGGAAAGCCAUAUUUCUUGCAUUUUCCCAUUUGGAUGCCUAUAUGUGUAAAUAUAUGAGGUACUCCAAGAACAUGAUAUACAUGGACUUCACCUUCAUCAAAUCUUGUUAACAUGCAUAAAUUAAUGAUCCACAUAAUUAUACAUAUAUAGCAUAAAAAUGUAAAUACACAAUAAAAAAAAUGUUACUACAUCAAAUCUUGUUAACCUGCGAAAUCAUGAAAAGGUUUACCUUGAAUUUGUUCGUAUAUGAUCAGAAAAGUAGUGCUCUGAGAAGUAAGCUAUCUCGUCAUUGAUAUAUGAUGCAACAAUUGAUCCGGCAGCGAAUAUCUUUUUCUUUGCUUUUGUUUUCAACUUUUUGAAAUUCCUUUCAAAAAUAUUCAUUCGCCUAUAUACUGGACAUGUCCUCCUAGUUUAGCUUCAUAGGAGAGGUGUGUAGGGAGGUGUUCUAUUACGUCAAAAAUGAUGGUGGAAAUAUAUUCUCUAAAUUGCAGAUGAUCAAAACAAUGUUUUGUUUUGAAAUUUGGACGCGAUCUUUCUGCAAAGUUAUCGAAAAGAUCAUGGAAAAAUAAUCCAACACCUACAAAAUUCAAAAUGUUUUGUAUCAUUUCACAUAAAAAACUAUAACAAGAAAUUAGCACAUGAUAACGCAAGAUGGAUGUUUUGGUCUAGAAGUUCUGAAAAGAUGAAUGGAAGUAGGCUAUCCAUAAAAAUGUAGCAGUCAUGACUCUUUAUGCUAGAAAGCUUGUUGUUCUCUAUAUCAACACAACUAUCUAAGUCUGAAUCAUAACCGUCAGGGAAUUUAACCGCGUGUUUCACACAUUCUAAUAAAAAAAUUACUUUUAUCUCCGUCCAAUGUAUAGAGAGGAAAUGGAGCUUGACCAUCACCAUGUAAGUGUGACCGAUCACAAAUUAUCCAAUCUUGACUUGAUUGUGUCUUUCCAUUCACCCUUCACAUUCAUAGAGUAUUCAUGAUGUUGUCUAAAAAUAUAUUCUAUAUGCAUUACAUCAAGAUUAUGUCGAAGAAUUAGGUCUCACCAGUAUGACAACUCACAAAAUAUGCUUUCCUUGUGCCAGUUAUGGUACUUCCCAUAUCUAAACUUAUUCUUUUCAUGACCGUUUCCAUCGCAAAUAGACGCUUUCGCUGGAUUAACACCGUCUAAUCACUCAGAAUAAACUUGAUCACUUGUCAAAGAAUCAGAUAGGAUUUCCUUUAAGGCGUGUUUUUCCUUGUGACAAUAAAACCAACAUGUCUUCCUUCAAUUAGGCAGAUAAAAAGCCUUUGUAUCUUCCAUCAAAUUGGACAUGCCAAUUUACCAUGGUUUGUCCAUCCUGAUAGCAUGGCAUACGUCGGAAAGUUGCUUAUAGUCCACAAAAGUACGAGUUUUAGAUUAAAAUUUUGAUUCACGGACACAUCGUAUCUUCAAUUCUAGUUUACCACAAUUCUUAUAAAUCCACUAUCAGAGGUUUGAGGAAGAUAUCAAGACUAGCUCGCGGAUGAUUUGGCCCAUAAUUUAGCAUUUUAAGAAACAUAUACUUUGUUUUCAUGCACAUACCUGGGGGAAGAUUAUAUGGAGUCAAGAUCACAGGCCACAAUGAAUGAUUAUGAGACAUCCAAAAUGGAUUGAAUCCAUCUGUACAUAAUCCAAGAUAAACGUUAUGAAGUUCUUCAGAAAACUGGGGAUGUAUAUCUUGAAAGUGUUUCCACUCCGCCACAUCAGAUGGAUGACACAUUUCUCCCUUCUUUGCUUGGUGCUCUGCAUGUCAUCUCAUUUUCUCUGCAGUCUUCUUGCUCAGAUACAUUCACUUCAACCUAUCAGCGAUAUGUAGAUACCACAUACGACAAUAUUGUACUUCGUUCUACGUCGUUUUUCCCUAGGCUUCCAUUUUUCUGCACAACAAAACUGACACUUUCCCAGCUUUCUUUCCAAAAAGAUCAUAUAAUUGUUGAUACAAACAUCAAUUAUAUAAUAUGGGAUCCCAAAAUUUUGCAUCAACUUUGCUGCCUCAUAGUGUGAGUCGGUAGCUCUGUUUCCAGCUGGUAAAUAGUCACUCAACAUUUGGCAUACCGAAUCGACAUACUUUUCAUUCAUAUUAUAAUCUGCCUUAUUUUGCAAAACUCGAGCAGCUAAGGAUAACUACGAGUUACCUUCAUGAAACAAUCGUACAAUGGAUUCUUUGCUCCUUCUAACAAUUCAAAAAACUUCUUCGAAUGGUUGCAUACCGGGUCUAUUACAUUCUGGUAACUACCAUCAUGCUGAUAAUUACCAGAACUCACAUUAUCACGAAACACAUCAUUUACCAUAUCCACAUAUCUAGCUUCAUUACAAACUUCUUCACUACCACUUAAAUGUGUCGGGUCAACAUGACUCGUUCCUAAUGUCAUAUCAAUUUCUUUUCCAUGCUUAUACCAAACAUAAUAGUCUGGCUUAAAUCCUCUACUAUAUAUAUAUUUUCAAAUAUUUGGCCCCGGAAGAAAUUUUAUCGUUCUCGCAAACACUACAUGGACAAAAAAAUUUACCCUCAUUGCUCUGCGCGAUAGACUGGCUAUUUGCAAAUGUCAUGAAAUGAUCCACCCCUGCUAUGAACUCUUUCGAGAAAAUUCUCGUCUUUUCAUCUAUCCUUUUGUACAUCCACUCUCGAUAAUUGGAAUAGUUGUAAUUUCCCGACAUUGUAGGACUUAAAAAAUCCUUCCUUUUUCUACUUUUUCUGUGAUUGAUGAGUAAAAAGAUGUGGAAAAAGCGUUUUGCUUAUAUAACAAUAUUUCUGACUCAUUAGCGACCAAUUACCGACUGCUUGGUAAAAAUUAGGUACAACCACCAUAAAGCGUUGACCAAGUGUUUUGUACUGUCUUUUACCGACUCAUUAGUGACUGAAAUAUGACCACAUCCAUCGGUCGCCAAAUAGUCGCUCAUUUAGCGAUUACAUUGCGACUAAUAAACUCCGACAACUGCAUAGUCACGGACCAGUCCUAAUUUCACGUCUGAACUACGACUGAUGGUUUUAGUCGCCAACUAGCAACUACUUUACGACUGAUCGAUCUUGGUUGUAGAACAGCUGCAAAACCGUCGCCAAAUGGUCGUAAUAUGUUACAACUACGUACGCAGUCGGAAAUCACAUGUUUUCUUUUAGUGAAGGAUAAAGGGAGUUGGGUGACAUUGACCAAGGAGAGAGGUAGACUUGAUGAGAGGAGGAGAAGGGCGACAUUGACUAAGGAGAGAGAGAGUUGGGCGACAGUGGGCUUAGGAGGGAGAGACUUGGGAGGCAUUGAGUGCAUGAAGGGCGGUGUUUCCUUUCUUCCAUUCUCAUUCCUCCGUUGAUUGCUUUGUAUACUUUUGGAACUAUUUCAUUUGUUUUACGUAAGUUUUUCGGAAAGAUUUUCUGAAAGUUGUUUUGCGAAAUAUUAGCUCAGAGAUUUUCUUAUGGGAUUCUUCUGUGAAAAUUUUCCAAUUUUUGUUUUCGGAAAAUUGUUUCGUAAAAUUUGUCAUUCUCGGAAAAACCUUCCGCAAGAUUCUCCAAUCUUGUCAUGUUUGAAUAGAAAUUCUUUCAUUCCUUGUACGGGAUGAAAGACAUUAAGUUUUGUUUUUACAUCCUUAUUCAAAUCGUCUUGGCUUAGUUUCUUCAACAUUUUCGGCUCGUAUUGGUUAAGACAUAUUUUCUCGUAAGAUUUUACCAAUUGAUUUCGUCGUGAACGAUUUUGACCCAACAUAAUUUGGAAAGCAAGUAAACCUUGGUAAACAAGUAAAUCAUGGACUUUCCAUAUUGCGAAUCAAAAUAUUGUUAACAUUUACAUAUUAAUUUUUAAUAUUAAUGCAUCUUCCCGAGCAGGGUCUCGUUAGUGAAUUAAGAAUCAUGCAUUUGUACUAUCCGAUCUGAUCCUUCAUUCUUUAAAUAUUUCCCAAGUAAAUUAAUAUACUUUCACUCCAUAUGUCGAUAUUCCGGUUCUAGUGCCAAUCAAGAAAUAACUAAAUGUGAUUAGACUAUUUCCGGUGACGCUCAUUUUUCUUUUUAUAAUUUAUUUUAAAAUAAAAUAACUUUUGUUUCAAUUGUGAUACUCUAUAAUUGAGUUAUUCUAUUUUAGAGUAAUAUAUAAAGGAAAGUCAAAAUUUUACUUUAAAAAUAGAGUAAAAAGAUGAUAUUCUUCUAUAUUCCACUUUGUUAUAGAGUUAUUCUAUUAUGGAGUAACAACCAUUAGAGAAAAAAUUACUUUAUAGUAGAGUUAUUCUAUUUUAUAAUAAACAAUAGAAGAAAAAAUAGAGUGCAAUUUGAGAUCCUCUCAGGAGUUAUAAUGCUUAAUUAUGUUGUUUAUAUUCUAUCUUAGGUUAGAUAUGAAAAUAUAAUCGGCAUGAUAUUAUCCACAACACUUCAUCUUGUCUUCUACGACAAGCACAUACUCAUUUGUAUGGAAGAUAGUUCUUUAUAGUGGGUUCGAUCUUGUCCAAGAAACUCUGUACCAUAUCAUUACUUAUGGCACUCCUAAGCCGACAGCGGCUAUUCAGAUUGAGACGACAAUAAAUAUACUAUUAAACCUGUAACUGCUUACUUAAUUUGAGUACGAAAAAAAAGAUAAUAAAUUAUUGUUUGUUAUUCUUCUCCUUUUUCAUUAGUAUAGAUAUCCGCGUAAUCCAAUACUUCCCAAGAGACAACACCCUCAAGCAAAUCGUUAGGAGUAGCAGAUUUGUCCUUCUCCUUACUCAGCUCAACUUUAAGAUCCAAGACCAUCUGCUCCAACAACAAAACUUCAGUUGCAGAAGAAGCCGAUUUUUUCUUCUCCUUGCUCAGCUCAACCCUGAGAUCCGACACCGUCUGCUCCAACAACAAAACUUCAGCAGCGCAAGUAGCCGAUUUUCCCUUCUCCUUUUCGAGUUCAAGGUUGAGAUUCUUGAUGUGUUCAUCGAUUUCUUGGACUGGGGAACCAUCAGUAAGUCCUCUUUUCUUCUCCAAAGAAAUCUCAUCAAGCUUUUUCUUCAACCAGUCUAGCUCGAAGCCCGCUUCUGUUAGAUCGAUCAACUCGCUUUGAGCGUUGCUUAGCUCAAUUUCGGUGAAGCUAGGUGAAGGCUUGUCCAGUUUCUCGAUGAGACCGAGAAGGAAAUUCAUGUAUGUUGUCUUCACCGAUUGAUUCUUUAGUUUGAAAUUCACUGCAAUGUCCGGGUGUUUUCUGAAAAGCUUAUUCACCAAAGGCAACUGGGGAAAGAUUUAAUCAUGUUUAGAGGAUCCAAUCUUUUUUUUUUUUUUGCUAACUGUAGAGGAUCCAAUCUUACAAAUGAGAAUAUAAAAGAAAAAAAAAAGGUAACCAUACCUGAGAAUAAAGGACUUUGAAACCACGGACAUCUAACAUGUCAUUUCCAGUUACAGCUCCUUCAUCAACAGCUUCAAUCACUUUUACGUCGACCUUUAAAAUCAGCUUGUUCUCCAAAUAACCCAUAUCUUUAAGCUUUUGAAGAGUGAAGGCCUUUGGGCUACCCCAUCCUGUGAACUGAGGGCGGAACAAUUUACAUGAUUCUGUAAAACGUGAAACAGAUAGUUCCCAUGAAAAUCAAGUAUAUAUGCAUGUAGAGAUAUACAGAUUAGGUCUGAUAAGUUAAUUACCAGGUGUUCUGUAUAGCUCUUCGCCUGAUUGAUUCAGUAGAGCAAAGGAAUAGCUAGCUUGCUUUUUCCAUCCAAGUGGCAAUGAUUCAGGGUUUGCAACCUGGAGGUGCAGAGACAAUCGUUCAUCAAUAUGAUAUCCGUUGGGAUAAACGUUAACAAACCUGAAAAAAAAAAACAAAUAUAUUUUAAUUAACUUUUUUUUUUAGCUGUACAACUUAUUAAUAACAUCGAGCUUAACUUAAGACAAGGGAGACUAGAUGAAAUACAAGAGAAACUAAUACCUAACCAGAAACUAAUCACAAUCAGAACUUAAUCAGUUGAACCCUAGAGAAAUAGGAACAACGAAACAUACGAUCUACAAGAGAAUCUUUGAGGGACUAAAAGAUGACGUACAAUCAAGAGUCAAGACAGAGACACCGACGUAUAAAUAAUAGUAGACCAAUUAAGAACCAAAACAUAUAAUAAUAGUUUCCUUUACCAUUCGUCGUUGCCGCUUAAAAAUUUUGGUGAUGAUAUAAGACCUUUCUUCUCUGAUAAGUUAUCUAUCUCAAAAGUGAAACUCGUAGGCUUUUUGUCAUCCAUUUGUCUACAAAAACAAAAAUAACUUGAAUAACAAAAGAAAAGAGGAUCUAGCCUGACUGUAAAGCAAACUACAGUAAAUAAGAACGCGGGGGAAAACAAAAUUGGAACAGAAACAAUUAAAAAAAACGUGAGAGCCCAAACACAAACGAAUCACCACGUAGAUCCUAGGAUUCUUCAAUGAAUCUGGCAAGAGAUGAAAAAUCCACGUACCUAAUCUUGAAUGUUUGAUCCACGGCAAGGAGAGUAGAGGAGUACAAGAUUUAGGGUUAGGUUACUGAGAGAAUAGCAAGAAUAGCAGCUUAUAUAGGAAGUGGAGAUACAAAAGGAAAAGGGUUCGGAGUCUUAAGAAAUGAAGAGACAAAUCUUGAAAACAAUAAAUCCCAGCGUUUUAUUGUCUUCUACACCGGUUAAUUAAACGUCUUCUCUGUAUAGGGAACUACAUAAAUUUUUGGAACCCGUUUGUUAGAAGAUAUUUAUAUAUAUUUGAGAUAAUUACCUAUUUAGAUUUGUUACGAUCCCUCUACUCAUACGAUCUAUUCUAACUAUCUUUUCAUUCUUUUGUAUUGCGUAUAGAGAGAUAACUUCACAUAUCUCCAAAUGAAAUCUAGAGCUUCAAGUAAUACUAGAUUGCUCUAGAUUUUCACAGGCGUGUUUUCAAAGUGCGAGAUUUUUUUUGUUUGUCAAAAAUAUGUUAACUUCAUAUAAAAAAUUUAUACAGGUUUAUAUAUCUCCAUCUUUCAAUAUGCAUAAUUUAUACUUCUGCCAACACAUAGAAAACUUAUAUUUAUGUAAUUAUAUUCUAACACGUCAACUAGCAAUUAACGUGCCCAUUAUUUUUAACUAAAUUAUUUAAAUUAGAUGAAAUCAAUUCAUAUCCAUUUUGGACCUGCGGUUUCACGAACGAACUUGGUGACUUGUACAUAAGCAUGUUUAGAUAUAAUAAAAAACUGAAAAUUAAAAUUCUAUUAAGAUCUCACAAGAUUAAUAUCGACCUGUGGUCUGAUACUGGUUAUAAACCUGCAAAAAAAUUAAAAAGAAAACUCCUAUAAUAUUCUGAAAAUAUUGAACUGAACUUUUGAUUUAUUUUUUAUCGUACAAAAUAUUGAAUAAAAUAUUUUAUUUUUAAUUCUUAUGUUUUUCAAAAAAUAUUACUAUGCCUUCAAAAGAGAAUUGUGAGAGAACUAAAAUUAGUUGAUAUAAUUUCAAAAUUAACCUUAAAAUAAUCAUUAUUAAAUUAUUUGUUAUCUUAAUUUUUAUCAUGGUUACUAAUUUGUUAUAAAAAGUUAUUAAAUAAAAUGUAGAAAAUAGAAAUUCCCCAUUUAAUUGUAUUUUAUAAAUAAAUCGUGUAUUUCUAUUUGGUCUUAUAUAUGUAUUAUUUGUUUAUAUUUUGUCUUGUGGUUAUAUAUAUAUAUAUAUAUAUAUGUAUAUAUUAAAUAUUAUUUUUAUUUUUAUUUAUGGGUCAACUAUGAAAGAUAUAGUAAGUUGUGGAUGCAAGAAGCAGUUGGGUUUAGUGUAUGAACUAGGUGUUUUGCCCACACAUAUGGGUAUAAACAUUUUAAAGUUAGUUAUCAAAAAAUGAAGGGAAAUUGCCAAAAAUACUAUUUUCAAAGUACAUUUUUUAUGUUUACACUAAUCACUUUUACACUCAUCUUUAAUGAAGGGUAAAAGACAUUUAUAACCCUUUGAUUAACUUUCACAAAACAAAACAUAUGAUUAACUAAUCUAAACCCUAAAUCAUCAACUCUAAACCCUAAAUCAUCAACUCUAAACCCUAAACCAUUAAACAUCAACUCCAAACCCUAAACCCCGAAACAUCAACUCCAAACCCCAAACCCUAAACCUUCAAAUCAAAACUAUAAAACAUCAACUCUAAACCCCAAACGUGAACCCUAAACCCUAAACCCUAAAUCUAAACUUAAAACAUCAACUCUAAAUCCUAAAUCAUCAACUCUAAACCCUAAACCAUGAAACAUGAAUCUAAAUCCUAAACCCCGAAACAUCAACUCUAAACCCUAAACCCUAAACCUUCAAAUCUAAACCAUAAAACAUCAACUCUAAACACUAAACGUAAACCCUAAACCCUAUACUUUUCUGAAAUUUGAACCCUAAACCCUAAAACCCUAAACCUUCAAAUCUAAACCCUAAAACAUCAACUCUAAACCCUAAACGUAAACCCUAAACCCUAAAACCUUAAACCUUCAAAUCUAAACCCUAAAACAGCAAGUCUAGGAUUUUACGGUUUAUGAUUUAGGGUUUAGAGUUGAAGGUUUAGGGUUUAGGGUUUAGUGUUGAUAGUUUAGGGUUUAGUGUUGAUGGUUUAGGGUUUAGAGUUAAAGUUUAGGGUUUUGGGUUUAGAGUUGAUGUUUUAGGGUUUAGAGUUGAAGGUUUAGGAUUUAGGGUUUAGAGUUGAUGUUUUGGGGUUUAAGGUUUAGAGUUGAUGUUUCAUGGUUUAGGGUUGGCAUUUCAAAAAAAAAGGGUUUAGGAUUGAUGGUUUAGGGUUUAGGGUUCGUAUUUCAAAAAAAAAGGUUUAGGAUUGAUGGUUUAGGGUUUAGAGUUGAGUUUUAGGGUUUAGGGUUUGAAUUUCGAAAUAGUAUAUUUAGAUAUUUAUUUAUUAUAUAUAUAAAGAACAUGAGCAUAAGAGUCUUUUGCCACUUAAUAAAGAAGGUAUUUUUGAAAGUGUUCUUUUAGUGGUAGUAAAAAUGAAAAGUGGCAGCAUGAAAGUGGUAAACAUGUAAU